CCCGAAGUUGGCCAACUUGGCCCCGGGCGCGGCGCACAGAGUUUGCCCAAGUCUCCUCGGACGAUGCUUGAGGAGGGGUCUGCGGGCCGCGCCGGGCGGAUAAGACACCUGUCUCUUGGCUCUUCCAUUCGCCCUUCCCCAAGCCGCUGUGACAAGGCCUAAAGCAGAAGGUCCAGAGAUGACUUCCUAUGAACAGGAGGGCCCGGUCUUAUGAGGGAAACUACAUGAUUUGUACAACUGGCUUUAAUGGUGACUUCAGAUCCUUGGUUCUGUCCUUCCUGGGACAUGGUGUGCGGGCAUGGACCACUGUAAUCUGACAACCACCCAGUGGCUUCCUUGCCUCCUGGGGACAUCUGGGGUUGGAUCUACUCUUCAGAAAUAGUGAUUUCUUGAUCUGUCAACACUGGAAGAUGAUGAGAUUAUUGGGUUCAGCAGCUUAUGUGUGUGAUUCCAGCACUAGGAAGUCUGAGACAGGACGAUUGCCAUGACUUUGAGGUUAGCCUGGUCUACAGAGUGAAAUCUUUUCUUAAAACCAACACCCCUCAAAAGAGGGGGGGUAGAAAGAAAGAUAAAACUGUGACAUUUUAGUUUUUAAAAAUAUAUUUCUAAAAUUUCUGGAGGAAUUGGGAAGUGUGGCCAAAAUGAACCCACAUUCCUGCUUAGCCACAACUAUUAAAUGGGAUAUUUAUCUGUCAGUUUGCUGAAGGUCCACUCCCCACGCAUGUACCCUAAAGACAUGAUCGUUCUAACCUCUGAUGAUCCAGUUUGUCCCAAAGUUGGAGCUGGAAUCCCAGUGUGGCAGAAAGGAGCUGGUGCCGGAGCAGAGUGUCCUCGAACACCCCAAGUGUGGACUGAGUCUGGAAGAUGACAGGAACAGGCAGGCCGGGGCUGGGCUGGGUGAGCUGGAGACAGCAUCUGCCUAUGAUUCUCUGAGCCAGAUGAAGGAAGCAAACCCAGUAGCUCCGCCUACUUCAGGGCCUCUCCCCUCCCCCUCCCCUUCCUGCUGUGCGGAUGGUCAUUGUCAGCUUUAUUUUUUUCUACCACCUACCACUUCUACUGCUACCUCCUUAUGUAGCACUUAAUAGUUUACUUCCAAAAAAAAAAAAAAAAUUGAAGGAUACUUUAAACCAGUGCCAAUAAAGCAGGAGCCAGCGUCUCUCCAUUUCACCAUAAAUCAAAAAUCACUGUCCCCAAAUAAAUAAAAUGAGAAGCGAGAAGAGGAGCUAGAUCCUAGCUACCACUGCCCACCCCAACGGGGUGCUGAAGCUGAGAAGCAAGUUUGAGACAGACUUCUGAGUGGGGACAGGGAAGCCCUUCACCAGCCCAGCCCACCUGGAAGUCCUCACAGGAAACCCACCCCUGCAAGAUGCUACCGAUGAACCGGGCACAUAGACUUCAAAUUUCAACAUUUUUUGGUGGAGACUGAGGGUUAUUGAUAUGUCCCAGCUGACUGCUUAUCUCGUGUGUGUGUGUGUGUGUGUGUGUGUGUGUGUGUGUGUGUGUGUCUGUCUGUCUGUCUGUCUGUCUGUCUGUCUGUGUGUACACACAUGGCUGAGUUAGCAGAGUGCUGGCCUACCAUCCCCCAGCACGACAUAAAUUCCACGCCCAGCACUUCAGUGGUUGAGGCUGGAAGGUCAAAAGCAACAAGUUCAAGUUUGGGGGCUGGAGAGACAGCCCAGCAGUUAAGAGCAGUGUCUGCUCUUCAAGAGGACUGGGUUCAAUUUCCAGCACCCACAUGGCAGCUCAUAACUCCAGUUUCAGGGGGAAUCCAGUGCCCUCCUCUGGUCUCUAUUGGCACUGCAUCCCAUGAUACACAGACAUACAUGUAGGCAAAAAUAC
ensembl:processed_transcript Gm12198 predicted gene 12198